AAGCUAUGAUGUCAUAUUUCCGGGGCAAUUUCGGUAGUAUGACGGAGCUUUUGUUGAGGGUUAGGAGAUUUCCACAGAUUGCCUAGGGGUCUACCUCGUAGGAGACUACCGAAAGAAAAUCUCCAUCU
rnacentral:ncRNA from 1 species